rnacentral:lncRNA from 1 species
CGAGUGUACUCCUCAACUGAUCGCUCCCCCUGCUGUAGCUUCUUCAGAUCCUCUUCGAGUUUCUGCUUCACGCUGUUUGAAAAAUACGCCCGUACAGCAUUCCGCAGAACUCAUCCCAUUUCAUCUGCAACGCCACCAACCGUCGAGUACCUCUCAUCCUCCUCCACCAAGCAUGCACAUCACCAGCCAAACAAUGCACUCCCAGAUGUACCUGCUCCUGCUCUGGUAUAAAUAAGUCCUCGAAUAGCUUC